rnacentral:lncRNA from 1 species
AGGCAGUGGCAGUGUCAACAACUCCACCAACAAUGCUGGUGACUCCUCCGAUCAAAUUUCCGGCAGCGUCGAGGACACCGCCUUUACCGAUGGACGUUAUGGCGUUGAAGUCCAAAACAUUUUUGGGCAUCAACACCACAGUCCCCUUGAUUUUUUGGCCCUUGUCAAAGAUGCCAAACAUGUUUGCUAACUCUUUAUGUAUCAACAAAUUAACACUUAAUAUUUGAUGUAGUAGAGUAGAGAAAGAAGCUUGAUGAGGUUUAUGAGGAAGUCAUGUAUUUAUAGAUGGAAUAUAAUGUAUACACCAGCUGCAAUAAAUUUUUUAAUCAGAAGCUGUGCUAUUCGUGCCAAACGUGGAAUAUAAAAUAUGAAUUAAUCAUAACAAUGAUAUUUUUUAUUAUUAUAACAAUACGGUAGGUAUGAAAGUAUUCACAAGAUCACUGAUUUAGAUGGAGAAAAUCUGUUGGUCACACAAACAAAGUAGCUCUCUUAUUCUAAUUGAGUUUUUUUUUUUUUUUUUUGGUAUAUGUAAAAGAAAGAGGUUAAAUCUUUAAUGUGUAUUAAUCCAUUUAGACUUGGACCAAUCAAUUAUAGGUGAGAUUGAUGGAACCAAUCAAUUUUGGGUCAAGUAGGACAAUGACAUGAAAUCUCAUAGCAGCUCACUCCCCGAAUGUGGAUGAAACCGAUUUCUUCUCCACACUGGGAGGAGACACCGAUCCAGGCACCUCUGGUCCAUCCAAAAACCCUUUUUUUUAACCGAAUUCUUCCCUCAUGAGUGGAAGGAACCGAUUUCUUCUCCAUAUUGGACACUAAGACUACACUAGGAGGAGACACCAAUCCAGGCACCUCUAGUCCAUCCAAAAACCCUUGAUUACCGGUUGGCACCUCCAGAAGCACAACAUCUCCAACUCUCGUAGUCGGUACCCUGCUCGCGCUGAUUGCGAGGUAGAAAACCUACUUCACACGUGAGUAUCACUUCUUUCUUCAAAAUGCCUCAAUUUUACAUUGAUUUCCAUUAAAAUAUCAAUUUCAAAUUUCCUUCGACAAUUAAUAUAAUGUGUAGGUUGAAAGAAACUUGCAAAGGAAGUUUUAAGUUAGUAAAAAGACAUGGCAAACAUGAAGCAUAGAAGUUAGUUCAUUUCUUUUGCUAUUAAUUGGGGGUUUGUUCUCCUCCAUGCGGAGUAGUUCAUUUCCAUUUAGUAAACUUGCCUAAUAGAUUAUACAUUUGUUCACAUAAAAUAAACAUUUAACUAGUUGUUGAUCAAAUAAUGUAUCUUUGUUAAUAAUAAUAUCAUUUCUUUUUAAUUUUUGUUGUUGCUUUUCUUCAUUUUUAUACUAAAUCAUUUUGUUCUUAUAUUCAUCUUCAUGUGUUUGUUUCUUGCUCUGCAAGUCUAAACUUGAAACAUAAACCUAUUAACUAAGAACCCCGUAAGAAUUUAAUGUCCUAGAUCAAUCAUCAAGUUUAUGUGUGUUGAAGAGAUAUUUAUCCCUAUCAACAAACACAUUAUUAUAUUCGAAUGAAAACACCCAAAUACAAUAGUAGUACACACAUAGAAACAACAAUUAUAAAUAGACAAUCAUCAUAUUCACAUCGAUGUACAUCGAUGUUAUUGGAAAGCGAAAAUGCACAAUAGAUAAGAAAUAAUCCACACAGACUUUUUUUUUCUUUCUAAAUAGAGAUACUGUUGGGAAUUCCUCUAAAAGUUAAACCUUCUUCACUUGAACGAAGGAGCAAAGUGUAGGGCAAUUCAACUGGUCCAGUGCGGUUUUUCAAACUAGAAUCUUUGUUCCUCCCGUGGAUUUUCCCUUCAAUUUCAGAUAGUUUGCUUCCAAACUUUUGGAAGGCUUGAACUGCCCUUGUAUCAGAUGUCCAAAACUUGUCAUUCCUCUCUCCGAGAUACACCUCAUCAGAAGCAUGUCUUGACAAUAUCUCAAUCACAGAAAGAUCAAUGAGGGUCUGAAACUUUGGUGUAAUAGUUCUCAAAUACGCCUUUUGAGGACUUUUCACCAUCUCAUCAUACUCCGGAGUUCCUUGCUCCGGAAUAAAUCUUCUACUAAGAGUUGGACGGUUCAGGAUAUAUCCUCCAUAAGGAUACUGUCCAAAGUUAACUGCUGCAUGAAGAGCUGAAGCAGUCCAUAUGAUAAUGGAGCAAGAUUGAACCAAGUCUCCAACAGUUUGCAUCUUAGGCCACCAUGGCUUGUCUUUCAAGUCACCAUGACCCUUUUCUACAGCUUCCUUCCACCAAGUUUGUAGUUCAGUGUCCUUUUGCACUACUUCAUCUGUUGGAUAAUAUAAGGAGACAUAGUCUUGAACCCAUGCCUUAAUAGCAUCCCAUAUUUCUAGUCCAUCAACAGCAUAAGGGUAGUCUUCUAACGCAAGACGAAGUCCAUGGGGGGAAGACGGGUCCUCAACAGCUAGUCCUCUGAAUCAAGCAGACAAUUUGUUAUCAAUAAUAAUUAUGAAAUUGCUCCUAAUUUUUAUAUAGAUGGUCCAAAUCGUGGUCAAAAAAUACCUCUUGAUAAGAUCAGCCGGUAAUGCUUGGUCGGUGAAAACCCAAUCCCUGUAAACUAUUGAAGAAAUCUCGACUGAAUUUGGUCCUGGCAAAAAUGUUUGCUCUAUAAUGCCACCAGCAUUGAUUAGAGAUUGUCGAGCAAGUCCAUUGAUAUUUAUUGUGUCACGGAAAUGAGGAAAUAAAAGUUUAUUAAUUGGGUGAAGAACACUUAGAUGCCUAUUUGUUGCUAUGAUGAAUGGUUCAACAACUGCAUGAGUAUUCAACCUGCAAUGUCAUACAUUUUUUUUAUUAAUAAUCAUGUCAUACAAUGCAUAUAUUAGUGUUAUUUUUUAGAUAUAUGACUAAAUAGAGUUCAUACCAAUGGCUGAUGAGUUGAUGAUAGCAUGAAUCAUUUACAAUGACAUGAGCCUUUGCCAAUAGCCAAAUUGUACUUUCAACGCCUUCGUCAGCAGGCAAGAAUACUUUGCUUUCAGAACCAUAUUGGACCCCAUUUGAGUGUGGCAAACUUAAUUCAAUUGCUAUUGGCUUCAAAGUCCCAUCAUCUUUCAAGAACAAGAUUGUUCUUGUGGCAUAAGCCUUUGCAUUUAUGUUUAUCCUCUCCAAAUAUGGCAUGAAUGCAUCAUGGUAAUCUAAGAGGAAUAAUUUCUUUCCAUUGAGUGCCUGUUCCAUAAAAUUAAUUUCAAUCACAUUAUUUCAUAAAUUUGAUUGAUUUACAAGCCAAUAACUUUUAAUUGAAACAUAUUUAUAUCAUUACCUCUUCAACUGUGAUAUCACCAAGGUUAGUCGCUAAGUGUUCUUUUGUUAUUGUACUGUUUUGAUCACCAUAGACAGUGGUAUCUAGUGUGCUUUUUGGUGGAAACUCCUGGUAUAUCAAAGAAUAAUUGCAUAGAAAUAUAUAAGCAUUGAGCUAUUGACAACAAAAUACAUAUUUUAGCUAAUAUAUAUUAAGAAUACAUUUGGUACAUACUUGAAGAAGGCGAAUCACAUUAGGAUUUACACCAGCAACCAUCUCUCUUCCAAAUUCUUCAUCUGUCAUCCAUGCAGACUUGCUAACUGCUCAAAAUAAUUGUCAAAUUGGAUUAAUUCAAAAGUGCAUGAUACUAAUAUAUGCAUGAAAGGAACUUGUUAGCUAUAAUUGAUUCGAUUUGGAUGAACAAGGUACCUUUGAUUACAUGAGGAGGUGGAAACUUGAGGACUUGUUCACCGUCAGUGCGAAAGAUUUCCUUAAGGGCCGGUAAGGGACUAAUUUGACUAAGUAUAUCUGUAGGAAGCUUAAUCCCACCUUCGAAAAGUCCACGUACUUCAUCGAAGCUAUCGAACUCAUUUGGUGUGAAAUUGAGGUCAAAAAUCACAGAUUUAAACAAUGGUAUGACAUUUUGAGACAGUGAUUUUAUUCCAUACAUAAGGAAGUCUGAUGACUUCAAGUGACCAAAAUUUUCAUCUCUUGGAACAUAAAUCACACCCGGUUUCUCACUCUUAGGAUCUGUUACGAAUAAAAAAAGCAUAAAACCAAUUAGAACGUUUCUACAAAAUGAACACAUUAAAUUCGCUAACCGCUAUAUUUCGGCAGCAAACUAACCUUUUCUGGUUGGUUUUCUACCACUUCUAACCCUGCGAGGGUAGGGAUAGGUGCUUGAUCCCCCAAGGACAGGACGGACAAGUGCGUCACCACCAUCUGGAUUUCCCAAAUCAUUAUAAAUAUCAUAAUCAUAAACUCUAUCCGCUUCUUUGCGCUCUCCAGUUCCAUCUCCUCUUAGAGUCUGCAACUCUUCUUCUCUAUAAUGAUUUAAUGGAGCUGGUGUUUGACUUGGAAGAUACGUCUGUAACAAAUUCAAUUUUUAUUUUAUUUUCUCAUUUUCCUAAUGAAACAAAUAAAUCCUAGAUUGUAAAUAUAAUAUUUUGAAACCAAAAAAAUAAUGUGUAAAAAAAUUAUAGGUAAAAUAUGUAAGUUUCCUAAACUUUGCUACAAUCAUAUAAACAUAUUUAAUCCUUAGCUUAGAAUUUAAAACUUACAUCAUUGGUGAAGAAGAUGCGAUCUUUUUUGUAACUUUUGAAGUUGUAAACCCAUGAGUUACAAAUAAACUGAACAGAUUCACGGUUAGGAAUAUCUUCAAGAGUCACACUAACAAGGAAGAAUUCAGCUUGUGUAUAAUUUCUUAUGUAAAAUGCUCCAGGUAUUCCAAAAUUAGCAUCAUAUUCAAAGAAAACACUGAAUGCAUCUUGUCUUGCUCCCAAAGUUGGUAACUGUGGUAGAUGUUUGCUCAAAAAUGUUUCUUUUCCAACUAGACCCUUUCCAUUUGCUACAAAAUUAAACACAUUUAAACAUAAUCACUAGAUAGUAUAUAAUGUCAAAUUCAGAUAUUUCAAGACCAAAAAAUAUCUAAGUACAUCACAUCUCUGCCACUUGUUUAUGUUCAAUUAGUGAAAAUUUUAUUCUUGACUAGGAAAUUAAUGGACAGAAUAAUUUUUGCAUGAUAGUAUUCAUGGUUAAUUAUUAAUUUUUUGGUCACGGUUAAUUUUUUUUCUCCAUGUAAUAGCUUGAAAAUUUGAAUAAGUAGAGAACAAACCAUCAGUCUUAGUAGCACUUAUCAACUGCAUAGAGACGUUACGGCCUAAGAAAGCAGUGGCAGUGUCAACAACUCCGCCAACAAUGCCGGUGACACCUCCGAUGAUAUUUCCGGCGGUGUUAAUAACACCGCCUUUACCGACGGAAGUUAUGGCAUUGAAGUCCAAAACAUUUUUGGGCAUCAACACCACAGUUCCCUUGAUUUUUUGGCCCUUGUUGUUUAAGAUGCCAAACAUAUUUGCUAACUCUUUUUUAUCAAACAAAUUAACACUAGAUAUUUAAUGUAGUAGUAGAG